CCCAAAUUCAGAGAAACUGCAAGCCUUGGCCAAUUUUAUAUGGAGGAAUGGUGGGCCAUGGAACAAUGUCCAUCGAUCUUAUUCACGCUGUGGGCUAACUUUCAGACAACAAGUCACAAUGCUGGAAACGAACCCGCAUCGUUAGCAUGGAAAUGAGAGAGGAUAUUAUUUUUCCUUACAUGGAGACUUUAGCUUGUUCAUGAGGAUGGAAUAUAUAUGUAUCCCAUACAUAUUAUGCUGCUAUUGUCAUAUUGAGCAUUAUUGACUCUGAAUCCCACUUAGUGGAGGACUUGAGGGGAUUCCAAUAUUAGGUUGUUGAAAUUGACGAUGGGAGUGGAUUUGCUUCUUUGACAGGAGUUACCUUGUGCCUGAUUUUCUGUUGAAUGCAACAACUAAAGAAGCCAGCAAGAGAGUAAAGCUUGCCAACCUUGGUCUCUGUGGAUUCAAGAAAAAAUUCAAGGAAGAUAAGGACCCCCUUAAGUCUUUCAGUGCUCAGCUUAUUUCCUGGAGGCCUACACCCAAGUGAGGAAGGGUGAUCUCUUGAUUGUGAGAGGAGGAAUGAGGAGUGUCGAGUUCAAGGUUAUUGAGACUGGUCCUUCUUGAGUAUUGUGUUGUUGCUCCAAACACUGAAAUAUUUCCAAUAGGAUUUACUAAAGUGGCUACAGAUAAGAAUUCUAAAGCUGGAUCAAAUGUCUCUGGCUAGCCUUUGUAAGUUUUGAGGUUUUAUUUUGUGAAUUAUGUUG